rnacentral:tRNA from 1 species
GCCGACCUAGCUCAACUGGUAGAGCAACGGUAUCGUAAACCGUAGGUUAUGGGUCCGAGUCCCAUGGUCGGCUCAA